rnacentral:rRNA from 1 species
UACGAAGGGUGCAAGCGUUAUCCGGAUUCAUUGGGUUUAAAGGGUGCGUAGGCGGAGCGUUAAGUCAGUGGUGAAAUCCUGCAGCUCAACUGUAGACUUGCCAUUGAUACUGGCGCUCUUGAGUGCGCUUGAAGUAGGCGGAAUGUGCCGUGUAGCGGUGAAAUGCUUAGAUAUGGCACAGAACACCAAUUGCGAAGGCAGCUUACUAAGGCGAUACUGACACUGAGAGACGAAAGCUAGGGGAGCGAAUGGG